CGCCUCCUGCCAUCUAUAGGAGGUCCAGCCUGCCCGGUGACCUAGUUUAACGGCCGCGGUAUCCUAACCGUGCGAAGGUAGCGUAAUCACCUGUUUUUUAAUUGAAGACCUGUAUGAAAGGCAUCACGAGAAUCGUACUGUCUCCUUUUUCUAAUCAGUGAAACUAAUCUUCCCGUGAAAAAGCGGGGAUAAAAAUACAAGACGAGAAGACCCUUUGGAGCUUAAGACAAACUAACGUUUUGCAUCCUCCACUUUAACCUAUUUCUAUAAGCACUUACAUUACAAGUCUUCGGUUGGGGCAACCGCGGAGUAAAAUUCACCCUCCAAGUUGAAUGGAACUUUCCUAAGCAGAAAACCACAACUUUACGCAUCAAUAAAUUGACAUUAUGACCCAAUAUUUUGAUUAUCGAACCAAGUUACCCUAGGGAUAACAGCGCAAUCCACUUCAAGAGUUCAUAUCGACAAGUGGGCUUACGACCUCGAUGUUGGAUCAGGGUAUCCCAGUGGUGCAGCCGCUACUAAUGGUUCGUUUGUUCAACG
rnacentral:rRNA from 1 species